CGCUGGCGGCGUGCCUAACACAUGCAAGUCGAACGGAGAUAAAGAUUUCGGUUUUUAUCUUAGUGGCGCACGGGUGAGUAACACGUGAAUAACCUGACCCAAAGAGGGGGAUAACACCUGGAAACAGGUGCUAAUACCGCAUAAGACCACAAUGUCGCAUGACGAAGGGGUCAAAGAAAAUCGCUUUGGGAGGGGUUCGCGUCCCAUUAGGUAGUAGGCGGGGUAACGGCCCACCUAGCCGACGAUGGGUAGCCGAGCUGAGAGGCUGAUCGGCCACACUGGAACUGAGACACGGUCCAGACUCCUACGGGAGGCAGCAGUGGGGAAUAUUGGGCAAUGGGCGCAAGCCUGACCCAGCAACGCCGCGUGAGGGAAGAAGGUUUUCGGAUUGUAAACCUCUGUCGCAGAAGACGAAGGAAGUGACGGUAUUCUGUGAGGAAGCCCCGGCUAACUACGUG
rnacentral:rRNA from 1 species